UACAGAGGGUGCAAGCGUUGUCCGGAUUUAUUGGGUUUAAAGGGUGCGUAGGCGGUCAUGUAAGUCAGCGGUGAAAUCCGGCAGCUCAACUGUCGAUGUGCCAUUGAUACUGCAUGACUUGAGUACUGAUGAGGUAGGCGGAAUUGACGGUGUAGCGGUGAAAUGCUUAGAUAUCGUCAAGAACACCGAUAGCGAAGGCAGCUUACUAAAGAGUAACUGACGCUGAGGCACGAAAGUGUGGGGAUCAAACAGG
rnacentral:rRNA from 1 species